GACGAACGCUGGCGGCGUGCUUAACACAUGCAAGUCGAACGGAAAGGCCCUGCUUUUGUGGGGUGCUCGAGUGGCGACCGGGUGAGUAACCCGUGAGUAACCUGCCCUUGACUUUGGGAUAACUUCAGGAAACUGGGGCUAAUACCGGAUAGGAGCUCCUGCUGCAUGGUGGGGGUUGGAAAGUUUCGGCGGUUGGGUAUGGACUCGCGGCUUAUCAGCUUGUUGGUGGGGUAGUGGCUUACCAAGGCUUUGACGGGUAGCCGGCCUGAGAGGGUGACCGGCCACAUUGGGACUGAGAUACGGCCCAGACUCCUACGGGAGGCAGCAGUGGGGAAUAUUGCACAAUGGGCGGAAGCCUGAUGCAGCAACGCCGCGUGCGGGAUGACGGCCUUCGGGUUGGAAACCGCUUGCGCCUGUGACGAAGCGUGAGUGACGGUAAUGGGUAAAGAAGCACCGGCUAACUACGUG
rnacentral:rRNA from 1 species